rnacentral:rRNA from 1 species
UACUCCUACGGGAGGCAGCAGUGGGGAAUAUUGGACAAUGGACCGAGAGUCUGAUCCAGCAAUUCUGUGUGCACGAUGAAGUUUUUCGGAAUGUAAAGUGCUUUCAGUUGGGAAGAAAGAAAUGACGGUACCAACAGAAGAAGUGACGGCUAAAUACGUGCCAGCAGCCGCGGUAAUACGUAUGUCACGAGCGUCAUCCGGAUUUAUUGGGCGUAAAGCGCGUCUAGGUGGUUAUGUAAGUCUGAUGUGAAAAUGCAGGGCUCAACUCUGUAUUGCGUUGGAAACUGUAUAACUAGAGUACUGGAGAGGUAAGCGGAACUACAAGUGUAGAGGUGAAAUUCGUAGAUAUUUGUAGGAAUGCCGAUGGGGAAGCCAGCUUACUGGACAGAUACUGACGCUGAAGCGCGAAAGCGUGGGUAGCAAACAGGAUUAGAUACCCUGGUAGUCCACGCCGUAAACGAUGAUUACUAGGUGUUGGGGGUCGAACCUCAGCGCCCAAGCAAACGCGAUAAGUAAUCCGCCUGGGGAGUACGUACGCAAGUAUGAAACUCAAAGGAAUUGACGGA